AAUAGAUACCCGGUAGUCCACGCCGUAAACGAUGUCGACUUGGAGGUUGUGCCCUUGAGGCGUGGCUUCCGGAGCUAACGCGUUAAGUCGACCGCCUGGGGAGUACGGCCGCAAGGUUAAAACUCAAAUGAAUUGACGGGGGCCCGCACAAGCGGUGGAGCAUGUGGUUUAAUUCGAUGCAACGCGAAGAACCUUACCUACUCUUGACAUCCAGAGAACUUAGCAGAGAUGCUUUGGUGCCUUCGGGAACUCUGAGACAGGUGCUGCAUGGCUGUCGUCAGCUCGUGUUGUGAAAUGUUGGGUUAAGUCCCGCAACGAGCGCAACCCUUAUCCUUUGUUGCCAGCGGUUAGGCCGGGAACUCAAAGGAGACUGCCAGUGAUAAACUGGAGGAAGGUGGGGACGACGUCAAGUCAUCAUGGCCCUUACGAGUAGGGCUACACACGUGCUACAAUGGCAUAUACAAAGAGAAGCGACCUCGCGAGAGCAAGCGGACCUCAUAAAGUAUGUCGUAGUCCGGAUUGGAGU
rnacentral:rRNA from 1 species